AGGCCUUGCUGGCCAGGAAAGGUACUGGGGCUACAGAGGUGUAACUGGGAAUAGGCAGAGGCAGCUGGUCCAACCCCCUUGCUGAUGAUGAGUGGUUUAGACUGGAGUCUACCCUGGUAAGGGGGCUAGAUGGUGACUGGCAGUAGCCACUGAGGCAAGGUGGGGAUAGAGGAUUGGGGGUUCCCCAGGGUGGAGAGACCCAGAUUGUGGGUCUGGGAAGGACACAGGGGCCAGCGGUGAGUGAGACACUGGCCUGCAGAGGGCGAUCUGGGCUGGAAGAGUUAAUUCCCAAGAUGACCAGCAGGAGGCACUGUACUGGUUAAAAACAGAUAACGACCAGAUCAUUUGAAUGUAGUAAACUGGAGAACACUGAGGUCUUCUUCCAGUCACAUCUGAGCCCUGACACAGAGAGUGAACCAAAAUCAGAGUCCUGACCAAGGAUUUACUACUAGAGCCUUAUUUAGACAAACUCCUGUCAACUUCAACAGGAAGGGGGAUAAAGACAUCAGGACUUGUUCCUUUAUUACCCAAUGGGCUGCCUUUGGCUCUUGAGCCACCCAGGAGUGUCAGUAAACGUGUCUUUUGGGAAUCCUCAUCAUAUUCAGGGAUCCUGUUCGAUACUAUGCGCUGAGAGCAGCUGCUACACUAACAUUUCAUUCUUCCAGAGAAGUGAGUCACAAAAAUCCUGUUCAAAUUUACAAGCCUCACAAUAUGGCAAUAAGGACAGUUCCUCUUCCAAAUAUAUGGUAAUGGUGGUUGGGUGAAAUCCCCUUGAAGCUGUUCGGUGCAAUAGCCACCCUUCAUCCAGGACAC